rnacentral:snRNA from 1 species
GUGCUCACUUCGGCAGUACAUAUACUAAAAGUGGAAUGAUACAGAGGAGAUUCGCAUGGCCCCUGCGCAAGGAUGAUACACAAAUUCGUGAAGCGUUCCACAUUUUU